rnacentral:lncRNA from 1 species
UCAAAGGGAAAACUCAAUUCAUCACGAUAAGAUAGAGAGGGAGAAACACCAUAUGAUCCAACUAUAUUAACAAAGCUCGCGAUACAUCAAGAUCGUGCCAAAUCAAGAACACGAGAAAGAGAGAUAAAACACAUAGCUACUAGUACAAACCCUCAGCCCCGAGGGUGGACUACUCCCUCCUCAUCAUGGUGGCCGCCGGGAUGAUGAAGAUGGCCUCCGGUGAUGAUUUCCCUAUCUAGCAGGGUACCGGAACAGGGUCUAGAUUGGUUUUUCAUGGCUACAGAGGCCUACGACGGCGGAACUUGUGAUCUAGGGUUAUUUUGGGGGGUUUCUGUGUUUAUAGGAUCUUUUGGCGUUAAUCGCACGCGAAGAUGAGCCUAGAGGGGCCCACUAGGUACCAGAGCGAGCCAGACCCACCUGGCACGCCCUGGUGCCUAGUGGGGCCCUCGUGGCUCUUCUGGCCCUCUGACGAAGCUUCCAGUGCCUUUUUUCUUCCAAAAAAUCGUCAAAAAGUUUCGCUGCAUUUGGAGAAUUUUGAUUUCUGCACAAAAAACAACACCAUGGUAGUUCUACUGAAAACAGCGUCAGUCCAGGUUAGUUCCGUUUAAAUCAUAUAAAAUUGCACCCCAACCAUAUAAAAUUGUUGGAAACAUGGCAUGAAUACUUCAUAAAUUAUAGAUACGUUGGAGAUGUAUCAACUAUUGAUGUCUUCAUGUAAAAUUAUAUACUAUUGCUUUGAACCAUUCAAGUCAAAAUAUCCAUGCUAGAAAAGAAUAAAAAAUAUGAUGAAUAUGUUAGGUGGCAUUCCACAUCAAAAAAUUUGUUUUUGUCAUUUACCUACUCGAGAAUGAGCUGGAAUUAAACUUCAGGAUGCUUGAUACGUCUCCAACGUAUCUAUAACUAGAAGAUGCCCCGCGCGUUGCUACGGGAAGUUUGAACAAAUAAUUUGUAAGGAAUAAAAUACCAACUGCAUGAUAUACAUGCAAAAGAAAAUAAGGUAAUAAAGCGGAAGCUCAAUGUUGUAUUAUCAGUGCAUCAAAUGGUGUUUCGAACAUUAAGAAUAAUUUUCUGUUCAUCCAAAAAAUGUGGCUCACCCGCAAAAAGGUGGCUAAUAAAAAUUAAUCUUUUAUGUCCAUGCUUCAAGUUAGGCUAAAGGUUUUAGUUACAUUACAUCAUCUCAGCCAUUUAGAUGGUUCGUCGAUAUUGGUAUAUAGAUCAGAUUUAGAUACAGCACAUUCACGUAUCCUUGUACUCCCUCCGUUCCAAAAUAGAUGACUCAACUUUGUACUAACUUUGUCAUCUAUUUUGGAACGGAAGGGGUAUUACAUAACAAUAAAAUGAGUAAGUAACAUUUGUUGACAUUCUGUACAUGCAUCAAUACAUUUUGCCCGUCACUAAAUGAUACUCCCUCCGUCCGAUAUUACAUAUAUAUUGUGGAACGGAGGGAGUAUUUCUGAAGCUUUCGGAUGACCAACAUUACCAAGUGUAUCAAGUUUGUUCUCUCUCCAAUUUAGUCUCAAUACUGCCAUAUGGAACAAACAAAAUACUAUCAGUGAGUGUUGGGGACAGGGGAAUCGUCGCCUGAAAUCAAACAAAUCUUACUUAUAUCUGUUAUAACACAGUAGUACUACAAUAGGUGCUAUACUCGAGUUACUAUCAGUAUAAAAAUAGCCAUUUCAUAAACCUGGAGGAGAACUUGGGAAGAAUAUGUACCAGUAGGGAGACAAAAAUCUGCAGAGUAUGUAUAUGCAGUGAACGGACCGACGAAGAUGACUACUUGGUCGUCGUCCAGUGCGCACCACCUGAGAUGAUGGGGAGCACCAUCUCGGAUAUUAUUAGGAUAGGGAGCUCCAACCAUCAAUUACUGAAUACCUGUAACAAAAGUUGUAGAUGAGAGACGUUGUUGUUUCUUCAAGAGUAGACCGUUCCAUAUAUAUAGAUGGCAGAAGGCAUAAAGCAGUGGUUGUGUGCGCCUGUACAGUUCGUGUGAUCUCUUUUGAAUAAGAUUUUUUUAAGACAGAAUACCAAAUACGUACUGAAGAACAGGUACUGAACCUUGCAAAUCCAUCGCUGAUAGAAAGGAGCCAGACUUCCAGCGCAGAUGCCCCAAAGCAAAAAGGCACCACUGCUGCAGUAGAAUGUCACUUGCUAUGAAGGGCCACCAUUGCCGCAGUCAAUGUCGUCUCUGAAUCAGCCGAGGCGGCACCUGCGGGAGGACGUCGAUCUAGCACUCCUGCAAGUCAUGGCUAUCAAUAUCAAUGGAGGCCCUACCCGAUGUCACCACCAGCACAGCCCUUCAAGGCCGAAAAUAAAAAGGUCCACCGGCUGGAGACCUCCCGGGCGCGAUGUCCACUCCAUGGCUGAGUAGCCGGGAAGAGCGUCCAUCCAAGCGAGAGCCCAGCGAAUGCGAGGUGGGGAAGUUGAGCGGCACCGAGAUGGGUUGGCCGCUCCACCGGGAGCCUCCCGGCCUUCUGUCGAGGCACCCGACACAGGGCGGCAAGGUAAUCGCCGAUAGUGGCCGGAAUCGAUGUCGGCACAGUGGCAUCCGCCGAGAGGCGCACUUCUUCCAGGGUGGGGGCCCCUACGUUGGGGAAGCCGGAGGCAGGGCUGCGACGACUGCCUGUGGAUCUCGUUGCAAGGGGGCACGUCCUCGCCAUCGCUUACCUUGCCAAAUCGCAAGCGGCCCGGAGAUAAAUACCAGAUCGUAAGAGCAACUGAAUCAACAAAGUAAUUGUUGUGUAGUGGGAUUUGAUGAAGAUUGGAGAAGAUGAAGACGAAGGGGAAUCCGCUGCCGUGGGGAACUGGCGAGGCACUCUGUUUGGGAAGGAUGCGAUGGGAAUCGCCACAGACGGAAAUAGAGGUGCGUGGGCAGCCUCUCUCGCCGGUCCUACUGAUAGUAACUGAAGCUAACAUGACUGUUCUCUGGUGUACAUGUUUGGUCCCACAAUGUAAUCCUCUAACUAAACGUUGAUGUGGCACUGAUGCUGACGUGGAUAAGUUGCAUGUGAAGAGAAAUAGGAUAAUGGGGAUGAACUAUUUAGUUAUUAUAGAUUUUUGAUUGUUCCAUGCUAUUGUAUUAUCAAUCUUGGAUGUUUUAUAUACACUUUCAAGCAAUUAUAUAUCUUUGUUUGGGACUGACCUAUUAACUUAGUGCCCAGUGCCAGUUGAUGUUUUUUUGCUUGUUUUGGUUUUGCAGAAUAUUAGUACCAAAUGAAGCCCAAGUGCUACGAAACUUUUUGGAGAUUUUUUUGGCAAUAAGAGACCCUCGAAGCUUCGGGAGGGCACAAGAAGAUGGAGAAGUGGCCCACGAGGCACCAGGGCGCGCCCCGGGGGGAGGUGCGUGCCAUGGUUGCUUGUGGGGCCCAUGUGGCUUCGUUUGGCCUAACUCCACCUCUAUAAAUUCUUUAAAAUCGUGAAACCAACAGGGGAGUCCACGAAAUACUUUUUCCACAGCCGCAAGUUCCAGAACCACGAGAUCCCAUCUGGAGGCUUUUUCCGGCACUCUACCAGAGGGGGAUUCGAUCACGGAGGGGCUCUACAUCAUCCUUGCUGCCCUUCCAUGAUGCAUGAGUAGUUUACCAUGGACCUAUGGGUCCAUAGAUAGUAGCUUGAUGGCUUCUUCUUCUCUAUUUAAUCUUCAAUACAAUGUUCUCCUCGAUAUUCUUGGAGAUCUAUUCGAUGUAACGACUUUUUGCGGUGUGUUUAUUGGGAUCCGAUGAAUUGUGAGUUUAUGAUCAGAUCUAUCCAUGAAUAUUAUUUGAGUUUUCUCUGAACUCUUUUAUGCAUGAUUAAUAUAGCUUCGUGUUUCUCUCCGAUCUAUUGAUUUGGUUUAGCCAACUAGAUUGAUUUUUUUUACAAUGGGAGAGGUGCUUUGUAAUGGGUUCGAUCUUACGGUGCUCAAUCCCAGUGACAAAAAGGGACAUGACGCGUAUGUAUCGUUGCUAUUAAGGUUAAAAAUAUGGGGUUUAUUCAUACGCGAGUUUAUCUUGUCUACAUCAUGUCAUCUUGCUUAAGGCGUUACUCCGUUUUCUCAUGAACUUAAUACACUAGAUGCAUGCUGGAUAGCGGUCGGUGCGUGGAGUAAUAGUAGUAGAUGCAGAAUCGUUUUGAUCUACUUGUCUAAACAUCAUAGAAAUUUGAUCAAUAAGAAUGAUGUGAUCGACAAGACCCAUCCGUUAGCUUAGCAUAUUGAUCAUUCAGUUUAUUGCUAUUGGUUUCUUCAUGUCAAAUACUUAUUCCUUCUAGUAUGAGAUUAUGCAACUCCCAGAUACCGGAGGAAUACCUUGUGUGCUAUCAAACGUCACAACGUAACUGGGUGAUCAUAAAGAUGCUCUAUAGGUAUCUCCGAAGGUGUUUAUUGAGUUGGCAUAGAUAGAGAUUAGGAUUUGUCACUCCGAGUAUCGUAGAGGUAUCUCUGGGCCCUCUCAGUAAUACACAUCAUAAGCUUGCAAGCAAAUGACUAAGGAGUUAGUCACGAGGUGAUGUAUUAUGGAACGAGUAAAGAGACUUUCCGGUAAGGAGAUUGAACUAGGUAUGAAGAUACCGACGAUCGAAUCUCGGGCAAGUAACAUACCCAUGGACAAAUGGAAUUAUGUAUGUUGUCAUAACGGUUCGACCGAUAAAGAUCUUCGUAGAAUAUGUAGGAGCCAAUAAGGCAUCCAGGUUCCGCUAUUGGUUAUUGACCGGAGAGGUGUCUUGGUCAUGUCUACAUAGUUCUCGAACCCGCAGGGUCCCCAUGCUUAACGCUCGUUGACGAUAUAGUAUUAUAUGAGUUAUGUGAUUUGGUGACCGAAUGUUGUUCAGAGUCCCGGAUGAGAUCACGGACAUGACGAGGAGUCUCGAAAUGAUCGAGAGGUAAAGAUUGAUAUAUAGGACGAUGGUAUUCAGACACUGGAAGUGUUCCGGAGGGUGUCGGGUACAUAUCGGAUCACCAGAAGGUUUCCGGGCAUCCCCGACAAAAGAUAUGGGCCUUAUGGGCCUAGAGGGGAAACGCACCAGCCACAAGGGGCUGGUGCGCUCCCCAUAUGGGCCGGCCAAGGUGGAUAAGGAAAGGUCAAGGAGGAAAGGAAAGAAAAGGAAUAGGAUUCCCCCUUCCUUGCCUCUUCGCCUCUUUCCUUUUCCCUCCGAUAUAUAUGGCAGGGGGCACGGCUUGGGAGGAGCCCAAGUAGGAUUCGGUCCUACUUGGGGCGCCUCCUGGCCUCUCCCCUCCCCCUCCCACCUAUAUAUAUGUGGGGAGGGGCACCCUAGCACAAACCACACAAUUGCCUAGCCGUGUUCGGCGCCCCCCUCCACCGUUUACACGUCCGGUCAUAUUAUCGUAGUGCUUAGGCGAAGCACUGCAGAGAUCACUUCACCAUCACCGUCACCAUGCCGUCGUGCUGACGGAACUCAUCUACUACCUUGACAUCUUGCUGGAUCAAGAAAGCGAGGGACGUCACCAAGUUGAACGUGUGCAGAACUCGGAGGUGUCGUACGUUCGGUACUUGAUCGGUCGGAGCUAGAAGAUGUUCGACUACAUCAACCGCGUUGUUAAACGCUUCCGCUUACGGUCUACGAGGGUACGUAGACACACUCUCCCCCUUGCUUCUAUGCAUCUCCAUGGAUAGAUCAUUGCGUGUGCAUAGAAAUUUUUUUGUUUUCCAUGCAACGAUUCCCAACAAUACCUUCAAGCACUCACCUCCCCGGCAACGGCGUCAGUAAAGAGCUUGAUGUCUACUAUGAGAAUUUAUUCUUGUAGACUCCUGUUGGGCCUCCAAGCGCAAAGUUUUGUAGGACAGUAGCAAUUUUCCUUCAAGUGGAUGACCUAAGGUUUUUCAAUCUAUGGGAGGCGCAGGAUGAAGAUGGUCUCUCUCAAACAACCCUGCAACCAAAUAAAAAAGAGUCUCUUGUGUCCCCAACACACCAAAUACAAUGGUAAAUUGUAUAGGCGCACUUGUUCAGCGAAGAGAUGGUGAUACAAGUGUAGUAAUAAUAGCAAAAAUUGAUUUUUGUAAUAUGAACAAUAAAAAAAUAGCAAGGUAGCAAGUAACGAAAGUGAGCACAAACGGUGUUGCAAUGCUUGAAAAUGAGGCCUAGGGUUCAUACUUUCACUGGUGCAAUCUCUGAACAAUGCUAAUAUAAUUGGAUCAUAUAACCAUCCCUCAACAUGCGAUGAAGAAUCACUCCAAAGUUCUUAUCUAGCGGAGAACAUAAGAAGAAAUUGUUUGUAGGGUACGAAACCACCUCAAAGUUAUCCUUUCCAAUCGAUCUAUAUAGCUACUCCUAUAAGUGUCACAAAUAACUCAAGAGUUCGUACUAAAAUAACACCAUAUGAUACACAUCAACCAACUCUAAUGUCACCUAGAUACUCCAAUGUCACCACGAGUAUCCGUGAGUUGAUUAUACGAUAUGCAUCAAACAAUUUCAGAUUCAUAAUACUAAAUCCAACACAAAGAACUUCAAACAGUGUCCCAAGAUUUCUAGCAGAGAAAUAAGGAUGAAAACUUGCAUCAACCCCGCAUAGAUUACCCCAAUGUCACCUCGAGAAUCCGUGAGUUGAGUGCCAAGACAUACAUCAAGUGCUCUCAAAUCCAUAGAAGUAUUCAAUCCGAUAAUAACGAAAUCUCAAAGGGAAAACUCAAUUCAUCACGACAAGACAGAGAGGGAGAAACACCAUAUGAUACAACUAUAUUAACAAAGCUCGCGAUACAUCAAGAUCGUGCCAAAUCAAGAACACGAGAAAGAGAGAUAAAACACAUAGCUACUAGUACAAACCCUCAGCCCCGAGGGUGGACUACUCCCUCCUCAUCAUGGUGGCCGCCGGGAUGAUGAAGAUGGCCUCCUGUGAUGAUUUUCCUAUCUAGCAGGGUGCCGGAACAGGGUCUAGAUUGGUUUUUGACUGCUACAGAGGCUUACGAUGGCGGAACUUGUGAUCUAGGGUUAUUUCUCAGGCUUUCUGUGUUUAUAGGAUCUUUUGGAGCCAAUCUCACGCGACGAUGAGCCUCGAGUGGCCCACUAGGUACCAGAGCGAGCCAGACCCACCUGGCACGCCCUGGUGCCUAGUAGGGCCCUCGUGGCUCUUCUGGCCCUCUGACGAAGCUUCCAGUGCCUCUUUUCUUCCAAAAAAUCGUCAAAAAAUUUCGCUGCAUUUGGAGAACUUUGAUUUCUGCACAAAAAACAACACCAUGGUAGUUCUGCUGAAAACAGCGUCAGUUCAGGUUAGUUCCGUUUAAAUCAUAUAAAAUUGCACCCCAACCAUAUAAAAUUGUUGGAAACAUGGCAUGAAUACUUCAUAAAUUAUAGAUACGUUGGAG